rfam:Triticum aestivum genome assembly, contig: Triticum_aestivum_CS42_TGACv1_scaffold_641121_T_4DL-0.137481_7AL-0.082171
AUUCUACUCCCUCCGUUGCACAAUACUACAUGCCUUCUAUUUGUCAAAACAUAUAUGUAUCUAGACAUGUCUUAGUAUAUAGGUACAUCCAUUUUUGGACAAAUGGAAGUCAAGUAUUUUGGAACGGAGGGAGUACACA